UUACAUUUGGUAGUGUAUAUAUGUCCAUGCCACUCUCUCACUUUGUCCCAGCUUACCCUUCCCCCUCCCGUGUACUCAAGUCUAUUCUCUAGUAGGUCUGUAUCUUUACUCCCAUCUUGCCCCUAGGUUCUUCAUGACCCUUUUUUUUUAAUUCCAUAUAUAUGUGUUAGCAUACAGUAUUUGUUUUUCUCUUUCUGACUUAAUUCACUCUGUAUGACAGACUCUAGGUCUAUCCACAUCACUACAAAUAACGCAAUUUCGUUCCUUUUUAUGGCUGAGUAAUAUUCCAUUGUAUAUAUGUGCCACAUCUUUAUCCAUUCAUCUGUUGAUGGACACUUAGGUUGCUUCCAUGUCCUGGCUAUUGUAAAUAGAGCUGCAAUGAACAUUGUGGUACAGAAAACAUUACUCUGAAUGUUGAAAUGUAAGCACUCUCUUUAAGAUCAGGAAUAAAACAAGGAUGCUCAUUGUCUCCACUUUUAUUCAACAUUGUAUAAUUGGUCCAUGCCAGCACAGAAACUUAGAUACAAGAGCAAAUAAAAUGCAUAAGGCCUGGAAAGGAAGAAACAGAACUGUCAUUAUUUGCACAUUAUAUCAUCAAUUACACUAAAAAAUCCUAAAGAAUCUUCAGGUUUAUCGGAAUUAGUAAGUGCUUAAGCAGUGUUGUUGGAUACAAAAUCAAUACAGAAAAUCCACAGCAUUUUGGUACCACAACAAAAACCAGCUAGAAAAUAAAAUCAUAAACAUUACCAUUUAUAGAACUACGAAAAAUAUAAAGAAUCUGUGGUAGGCAGAAUAAUGACAUUCCAAGGAUGUCCACGUCCUAAUUCCCAGAACUUGUGAAAAUGAUGGGUUCGUGGCAAAGAGUAAUUAUGGGUACAGAUAAAAUUGAAGUUGCUAAUCACCUGACUUUAAAAUAGGGAGAUUAUCCUGGAUUAGCCAUGUGGGUCCAAUAUAUUCACAAGGUUUCUUAAAAGGGAAAGAGAGAAACAAAAGAGAACCCGAGAGAUGACAGCAUGAGAAGACUCUAGCCCGAUGUUGCUGGCUUUGAAGAUGGAGGAAGGGGCCGUGAGUCAAGAGGUGCCUCAACCUCUAGGAGCUGGAAAGACAAGGAAACAGAGUCUCCCCCCAGAGCCUCCGCAAGAACAAAGCCCUGCCCACACCUUGACUUUUACUCAGCAAGACUCAUUUUGCACUCUGACUUCAAGAACUGUAAGAUAAUCAGUUUGUGCUGUUUAAGCCACCAAGUUUGUAGUGACUUGUUACAGAAACAAUAGGAAACAGGGGCUUCCCUGGUGGCACAGUGGUUAAGAAUCCGCCUGCCAAUGCAGGGGAUAUGGGUUCGAGCCCUGGCCGGGGAAGAUCCCACAUGCCACGGAGCAACUAAGCCUGUGAGCCACACCUGCUGAGCCUGCGCUCUAGAGCCCGUGAGCCGCAACUACUGAGCCCGUGUGCCACAGCUGCUGAAGCCCGUGUGCCUAGAGCCUGUGCUCUGCAACAAGAGAAGCCACCGCAAUGUGAAGCCCACGCACUGCAACGAGGGGUAGUCCCCGCUCGCCGCAACUAGAGAAAAGCCCUUGUGCAGCAAUGAAGACCCAAUGCAGCCAAAAAUGAAUAAAUAAAAUUUUAAAAAAAGGAAACAAACACAGAAUCCAGGAAUAAAUCUUUAAUGUGUAAGACCGUUAUGGAGGAAAUUGUAAAAAUUUAUUGGAAGACAUUAAAGGAGACCUAAGUAAAUGGUUGGAAGACUCUCUUUCAUAAAGAUGUAACUUCUCACUAAAUUGAUCUAUAGGUUCAAUGCAACACCAGUAAAAAUCUUAAUUUUUUUGUGGGGCGGUGAAGCUUGGCAAGGUGAUUCUAAAAUUCAUAUAUAAAUGCAAAGGCCCAAUAAUAGCCAACAUACUCUUGAAGAAUAAGCCAAAAUGUAUUAUAAAGCUAAACAAGUACACACUGUGGAAUAGAAAAAUGGGUCAAUGGAAAGCCCAGAAACAGACCUGUGCAUAUAGGGACAUAUGAUGUAUGAAAUAUUGCUGUCACAUGCCAGUGGGAAGGGGAUGGAAUUUUCCUUAAAUAGUGCUCAGAAAGUGAAUGAGUAGCCAUAGGGAAGGAGAGAUACUGGCCCCUGCUACACACCAUAUGUAAAAAUUAUUCUAGAUUAAGACCUAAACGUGAAAGGCAAAAUAUAAAAUAUUUAGAAGACAUUAAAGAUAUCUUACGAUCUUGGGGUAGGGAUAGAUAUCCUAAAUAAGACACAGAAAGCACAAGCCAUAAAAAUGAUCGAUUUCACUAUAUUAAAACUAAGAACUUUCAUUCAUCAAAAGGCCAUAAAGAAAGUGGAGAGACAAGUCACCCACUGGGAGAAAUAUGAAGAGGGUCUUACACCGUAAUGAGAUUAUUCACCCUGGAAAUGGCCUCGCCUGACUGCAAACGAGGCACGUCUCUUUUAGGGAGGAGGGAAGAAUGAGCACCAGAAGUUUCUACCACACCUAGUGAGGUUGAACUGGUCCUACCCGAAGACCCAACGAUUCUACUGUCAUGUACAUAACGUGAUGAAUGUACAGUGGCUUGUGUAACAUGAGCUGUGUGCCAGAAUGUUUACAGCGGAAUUGUUCAUAGCAGGGAAAAAAAGGACAUAAGUUCACAUUCCAUAGUAAGAAUGGAAUGUACCGAUCCGUUUCAGCAUAUUCAUAUAGCAGAAUAGUAUACAAUGAUGAAUAUGCAACAAUGGAUCCACUUCCAAAACAUAACGUUGAUGGAAGAAAGGCAACAGAAAAGCACGUGCAAUAUGAUUCUAAUUACUUGAAGUCCAAAAAACAACUCAGUGUAUUUGUUAAGGAUACAUACCAAGUUGUUACAAAAAAAAAAAAAAAAGACAAUAAAGACAAACAAGUGAGUGACACAAAAUUUAGCAUAGAUUCCUCUGGAUUCCCUCAGAACUCUCAUGGGACCUGAGAGGGCAAACGGGGCUCUGGGAAUCAGGUAAUGUCCCAUUUAUUCACCUGGGCAGUGAAAACUUAGUUCUAUGCCUCUGUCCAAAAAUUGAGAUGUUCAGUUCAGGCCCAGGUGAUGAGAAUUGUCAAAGACAUGGCUUUCGGUAAAAAAAAGAAAAAAAAAAGAAAAAGCUCCUUUGGCACAGAUUCAGCAAACCAAUAAAGAAAUUCUUUCCUUCCACCUUUAGUUUGCCAUUUCAAACCUGCUGAUUAAUCACAGUGUGUUCCUGGCAGCCGCCCAGACCAGCUCCUCUGAAAAUAGGUGAAGUGGGAGCCCUCGGACAAGAGCACCUUCAGCACCACGGACAGCAACCCACGGCUGGCCCUUCUGAGACCAGCUAUGUAGCGAUUCAGAAUGUUGCAGAAGGGCAGAGGCCUUCAAAGUCAUGGCCCAGGAGGCAGAGGAUGAAACAGAACCCAGGUCUCCUGAUACCUAAUCUAGUCUUCAUUCCAUUGCUCCUGGCUUUGGCUAAAUGGACUGAAACUCCUCCCUGAACCAAGAAGUCGCCAGGGGCCUUCCACAUGUGGCUUUCACACAUGCCAUUGAAGGCUUGGGCUUCGCAGUCAGUCUCAGCAGGGUUGAGAUCUGACUCUGCCUGCAUCAUCUGAGUGCCCUCGGAAGUCUCUUCACCUCUCCAAGCCUCAGUGUCAGUCAUAUCAACUCCCCACAGAGUUGCUGCGAGAAUUCAGUAAUAUUAGAUCUUGUGAUCUGGUGUGCAUUUAGAACCUAGAAAAUUCCCUCUCCCUCAGUGGAUUUCAUAUAGAAAAAAAAAAUUGGUUCUUUGGAACAUUUCAAAGAUGCUGAAACAACUAGAGGCUGUUCUGGAAAUAAACCCCACAAAAUUUCCGUAUAAAAUCUUGGCGUUCCUAACAGAUAUUAAGGCUCCCUUAGAUGUCGAUGUCUUAGCUUUGUCCAGUCUGGUUCAUAUUAGGCAACGAUCCCCUGAUCGUUGCCUAAUAUGUCCUUACUUUUUGUCAUGCCAAGAGACGCUCAGAGAAGAGGGGUGAAAAUAUGCCUACAAAAUGUCUCUAAGGCUAAGGGUCCUCAACCACACACUGCUUUCCCACAUUGAACCUGAAGGGUAAUAUAUUGUUCUCUUGAUUAGUCGCUAGAUUCUAUUUACUAGUAUUUUAUUUAGAAAUUUUCACCUAUACGUGUGCCAUCAGUCUAUAGUUCCCCUUAUUUUGUAUUAAAGAUAUUCUAGAUGCAUAGAAUGAAUAAGGGCAUUUCUCUCCUAUCCUUUUCUAUGGCCUCAAAUAGUUUAAACAGUAUUAAAAUGAUUCAUUCUUUAGAAAUUAGAUAAAACUCAGCUGUGAGCCUGUCUGGUUCUGCUGUCUUUCCACUGAUAGAUCUCCAAUCACCUUCUAAUCUCUUCUAUGGUAAUUGGUCUAUUAAAAUUUUCCAUUUUUUCUUGGACUGAUUUUGGUAAUUUACUAGGAAAUCAUCCAUUUCCCUGAGGUUUUCAAUUUGUUAUCACAGAGUUGCGUGUAAUAUUCUCUCAUAAUUAGUUUUAUCUCUCCUGUAUCUGUAGUUAUGUUGGUAUGUCUGCCUUCUUACUGCUAAUCUUGUCUAAUUUUACUGUCUCUCUUCAUUCUCCAUAAUUGGACUCACGAGGGUUUUUUCUAUUUUAUUAGCCAUUUCAAAGGAUAAGCUUUUGCAUUUACAUAUUCUUCCCACUGUUUAAAUGUUUUUUUCUAUUUCAUCAGUUUCAGUUCUUUAUGAAUUCCCCUUUUCUUGUUUCUUUUGUUGUUUCUUGUCCUAAUUGCUUGAGACAAGUACUAAAAAUGAUGUUAUGUUUAGCCUUUGCCCCUUCGAAUGAAGGCAUUUAGGCGGUGUGUUUCCAAGCUGUUAUCUUCACUCCGUAUGUUUUAACAUGAAGCAUUUUCUUUUUCUUUGUUUUCCAGAUGAUAUAUAACUUCUCCCUUGAUUUUUCUCUUUGAUCCAAGAGUUAUGCAUGAAUGUUUUAAAUUUGCAAGUAAAGUGUUUGGCUCCCAUUUUAUUAUUAAUUACUACGUGUGUUGCAUAUGGCUGGAGCAUGAGGCCUGUGAAAACUUCAUUCUUGGGUUCUUGAAUUUGGUAAUGUUUUAUUGUCAGCCUAUUAUAUACUGAUUUUCCUCGGUGACAUUUGGGCACAUAAAAAGGGAUUCACUAUUUAAAAAAAAAAUAUAUAUAUAUAUAUAUAUAUAUAUAUAUAUAUAACGAUAUUAUAUAUAUGUUCACAGUUAUUGGUUGCAUUAUUCUGUUCUGGUGUUAUUACUUUGUUGUUUUUGAAUUUCAUAUAUACAUAGAAGCAGAGAGAUAACGUAUACUAUACAUCCAUCAUCAAGAUUCAGUAGCUGUGUACAUUUUGCUAUGUUUGUUUUUUACUGAGGUAUUUAGAAUUAAAUUAUAGGCUUCAUGGCAUUUCACCCCUAGAUACUUCAGUUUAUCUCUUUACUAAAGAAGGAUGCUCCCCUACUUAACCAUGAUACCAUUACUGCACCUGAGAAAAUAACAGUGAUGUUCUAUAAUCUUCUAAAACUCCAUCCAUAUUCAAAUUUCCCUAAUUGUCCCUAAGACAGCUUUUAAAAAUCUGAUUUGCUCAAACUAGGAUGCAAUCAAUGGCCAUGCAAUAAAUUUGAUUGCCUCUUAACUUCUAACAGUUUCUUAAUUUCUAAUACUCUUGUCCAUUUCUUACGGAGAUCGUGCAAUGGUCUCUCACUAUAAUUAUACUUUUAUCCGGUUCUCUUUCCUUUCCUAAUAGGUUUUGCUUACAUAUUUAACUCUUUUUUUCUUUUUAAAUACAGGCUUAUGACUGUAUAGCACUUCAUUGUAUAACAUUCUAAUUUAUCACAUAUAAAUAUUUUAAACCUUUUUGAGAUUACUAUCUACCCGUCCUACUUUAUUUUCAUUUGCUUUAUCCUUGUAGCUAUUUUCCCUGCAACUUAUUUUAUUUUAUUAUUAUUUGUAAUGUCUUUUUUUGAACAUCUUUACUGGAGUAUAAUUGCUUUACAAUGUUGUGUUGGACUUCCAGCCUCCAGAACUGUGAGAAACAAAUGUGAGUUGUGUAAGCCCCCCGGACUGUGGUAUUUUGUUAUGAUCGCCCAAGCAGACAGACUCUAAGACCCCUUCCAUUGCACUGAUAGCCAUUCUCUCUUCCCUGUUUCCCAGAUCUCUCUACUUUGAAAAUAAGAUACCACCUAUUCCACACAGUUUGGGUCUUCUCUUGAGUCUUUUCUUCAAAUGAAGCAUGCAGGGGAUAGAAGAGAAUUUGGGAAGUGUACUCUCAGAAUCUUCCUUUUGCCUUGACGGCAGGACGAUUGCUCCGUGACAGCAGAGACAGCUGGCCCCCCAAUACUCCUCGAGGCAAGGGCUGGAUUGCCAAGCUAUGUGGACUCCCUGGAGACCCUCUGGGGGGCCCUGGACCUGGGCUCGGGGGCCUGGGAGGUGGAUGGUGUCCCAGCUCUGCAGACGAUGAUGACUCUGUGACCUCCCAUAAGUCCCUGGACUUCUCCGGGCUGCCGUCUCCUUAUUCAUCGAACGAGGAAGGAGACCUAACUGCCAGUGUACCUUCCGGCCCUGUGGGAAGAGACUUAAACCCCGGAUGGGGCCCUACAAUGUGUGCAUCCUCAGAGUGUGGCUGUGCCUUCUCCACGCCCAUAGCAACCAGAGAGCUGGGAUCAGCCCAUCCCACGGCCUGGGGACUGGCCAGGAAGCCCUUUGGGGUCCCACCGUCUACACUGGUCUGGGCUCCCGCAGCCCCUGUGACCCACGGGUCUCCAGCUCCAGACCUGCCAUGGCCAUCUCCCAUCUAUCUUGUGUCACAAACUCCCAGCCCCUGCCUGGCACGGCGGCCCCGAGCCUGGCAGGUGAUGUUUCAGGGGCAGAGAAAGCCCCUCUGAAGCCCCAGACCCUUGCAGAGCUCCCAUCAGCUCAAUGGAUGUUUCCUGAUCCCUACUCUGUGCUGGGGACACAGACAGGUCGGACAGGCCCUGUCCUAGGAAUCUCGAGGCCUGGACCGGAACAGGGGCUGUUCGCACCGGGGCACGUGGGCCAGGCCCAGACCCCACCUGGGCCAGAAGGGUUUCCAGGGGAAGGCUCCCAUGGAACAGGAGCCUCUGGAAGCACCCCACCCUCUCUUCCCUCCGCCGGGAGGUGACAGGCCCGUGAUUAUACAAACGAUACACCUGCGAGUCCCAGAAUAGCAGCAGUGUGUACAGGGAUGCCUGUCUCGCUGCCACCGCGGCUGCAUUUGCAGAAAUACCUUCUUCCGCACAAAGGUGAACAUGACAGAGGCGAGAACCAGGCUUCUGAAAAGGGAAAAUAUUUAAACACCUUCCGCGGGGAUCUGUAAACUCUCGGCACGGGGACAACGAUGGCGCCAUGUGACUGGACUAAAGUUAGCUCCCACCGGAGGAAGCUGACUCCCCGGCCAGGAAGGUGGAGGGAGGAGGGCAGCGUGUCCUCCGCGGGGCGGGCGGGAUGAGCUCCCGCACCGCGUGGCCCUGCCUGCGGGCCAGGCCUCCGCCGGCGAGCCGCACACGCCUCCCCGUGCUUCAUCCAGAUGGAUGGAGAGCCCUCUUCGGCCCUUGCCAACCAACCGGUGGGGUGGGGGGCAGAGGCACGGAGCGGGUCGCCCACUCGCCCACGGUCACGCCGGGUGGAAACGACAAGCUUCGGAUUUGGAUCCCGGCCGCCUGACUCAGAAGCCGGUACUUAUCCCACAGCCCGAAUGCCAGUCGGGGUCCGUCUGGGAGAACUGAUCUGAUGGUGAUGGAGAGCCUGGUCACACCCCGUGUGCGCUUUAGGGACACGCUGCUUCGGACCGGGGUGGGGGGGUCCGCAGAACAGCCUCCACGCCCCGGCUCUGCCCCGUGCCCGUGCUGGACAACUUCCAGGUGUUCCUGUCCACAGCCACAUCAACAACCGCGGGGCAUCCCGUCUCACACCCGAGCGCAAGCUUCCCCACGUCCCACAUUUAGAGCGUUCUCCGUAAGCUAUUGUUUGUUUUUAAGAGCGGAAGAUUUUUUAUUUUUAAUUAUUCUUAUUUACAUCAGCAUUAGUAUUACGAAGGAGAAGAGCUGGGUUCAACAAAUGUCCCCUCUUUAUGGGUGUCUAAUUAUUUUACGCACUGGGUGGUGAGGAGGUGACUGAGAGAAAGGUCACCAGUGCCAUUUCCUGGCCACCGGUACGUCGUUCUUGAAUCCAUUUCAUUAAUCUAGUCAGCAAACGCCCAGGAGCCUCUGCUCUGCCAAGCCCCGCGUACCCAGAAGCGGAGGCUGGGGGCAGGAUGCCCUCCCCACUGCCCAGGAGUCCCGCUGUGGGUGUGGACAUGCUGCCCUCCCAUCUCCUGGGCCUGGUUUUCGAACAGCCUCCCUCAGGGGUUGGCCCUGACGCUCCGGCCUCGGUUAAUGAGACCCUCCUGCUGGGCACAGGGUUCGUGCCCCUCCAGCAACCCCCCUCAGGAGCUGUCAGCUGGUGAAGCCUCUGCCGAUGGCCUGAUUGAUCCUGGCAGCACUGGGGCUCCGUGGGGAACACGAUGGAGCUAUUUAUGGAGCAGGUGUGGAGCUGGGCAGUGGUUCAGGCUGCGCGUUAAGAAGCCUGAAAUCCACUGAUCAUAUUUCCUGCAGUAAAGCGAGGGCUUGUGUGUGUGUUGGGGGGGGUGGGGUUGGGGGCCGCCCUUGGCUCGAAGGAGGGGCCCCUGUCCUUGCCUCUGCCCUCAUUCGCAUGUCACCCUGAGUCCCAGAGAGGGCUGGCUGGCUCCUCCCCUGCUAGAUGAACUUCUUACUCUUAAGAGUCCUCUAACUCCGGGGGCAGAUCAGAUCCUCCCUGAGCCUCGAACCUGCACACCGAUCGUUCCUGCAACAGUUUAGAGUGUGAAUCUCCCAGGCGUCUUUGCCCACGUGGUCACAAUUGGAGACAUCACCACACAAGGAGAACUCUGGGGCUCAGAAAUUCCAAGUAAGACCCCCCUUGGGCUUCACAUCUCAGGGAGGAGCCCACCCAUCUGGGGCUCUGUGUCCUCACAUCACCUGAUGAUGGACUUUUGGGGCAGGUGCAGGUCCAGCAGCCCCAGGUCACAGGCUCUGACUGUCCACCCUAUGAACUACUUCCCCUGCCCCUGACAUGACAUUCUGGAAUCCUCUGGACAGACUGAGCCUGGCCAGCCUCAGUUUCCCUUUUCUGGCAUUGGCUCUGCCUCUCGUGUCUUGGGAGCCCUGGGCCAUUUUCCUGCUCCCCUCCCCCGACUCUCACCACAUCAGCCCUGGGACCAGCCUCAGCAUAUUUGGGAUUUAAUCAUGGAGCCAAUGAAACAACUUUUAGCACCUCCUGUGUACCAGGGACUGGGCUGACUCUCCCUCUUCCUUCGCAGCCUUUUCGCCAUCACACUGGUCCAGCCUGGCAGCCUGUGCCUGGAGAGGAGGACGCAGCCCCCCAGCUCCCACCCCACCCCACAAAGGAUCUGCAGUCAUGGUCACUGUCCUAAGCUUAGAGCCUUGGCUUCAUCACCGGCCAAGGGGAUGAUGAUGGCCUCACAGAGUCAUCAUGAAUGCUCAAUUCCCAGCUCAGGCUGAACACCCAGCAGCUGCUCAAGAAAGGCUCAUUCAGGACCAGCCCACCAAGGCGCCAUACACCACCAUCACGGUGCCACUUGCUCACGGCUCCCUACGUCCUCUCACAAUGCCAUCUCAGCUGGGGCCAGGUUGGUGAUGGCCUUGAAAGGAAACAGGUGAGCACUGAGCCCAGGAUGAGCCCUGUGUGGACCCCUGUGUUCAAGAUUCUCAGGCUGUAACAGAUCUCGACCAAAGACAGGGCUGGGAUUGAUUAGCAAUGUCUGCUGUGGGCCCAGGCCAAGGGAAGGCAGCCUGUGUGCCAAUAUUGGUGAGCUCACCCUUGGACCCACUCCCCUCUCCAGGCUCACUCCUCACUCCUUCCACUGUCUGAGCUCUUGUUGCUUUCUGCCCUCUCUUCCACCUCUGCGUUUCGUGUUCUUUCUCCUCCUUCUUCAUUGCACUCGACCCCCCAGGGACAUCAGAGUCAAGGCCUAAACCUCAGAGACUCUCCGGGUCCUGGCAGGCAACCACCUUUGCCAUCUGCACAGCUAUUUUUUUUUUCUUUCACUCUUCUACAUCUACCUCUUCCUGCCUUCCUUUGAGAGAUCUCACUUGGGGUGAUGACUUCAGACGCACUGGCACGUGAACUCAACUCCGCUCUUUAGUUUUUAACAAACAUUUAUUGUGCACCUACUGUGUGGAAGGUCCUGCAUGACCAAGUUGAGGCCGGCAUGGCCCCUGCCCUCAAGGAGCUCACAGUCUGGCAGGGGAGGUGUGACUGGCACCAAAGGGGUCACAGGAUAGAAGUAUGUGCAGAGACACAGGCGCCUCAUCCAGGCUGGGCACAGGGGAAGCUUCUGGAGGAGAUGCUGCCAGAGGUGAACCUUGAAAGAUGAGGAGACGGGAGCCUGAAGAGGACAGGGAAAGGUAUACAGGCAGAGGGAACGGCGUGAGCAAAGGCACGGAGGCGUGACGUGCUGCACUGGGUGGCUGGCCUAGAGCACGGUACCUCCCCGCUUCCCGCCCGCAGCUGAGUCUUUCACAGACACAUAGCGCUGAUGUAGAAGCAGCACUAGACUGGGAGUGAGAUCCACUGACUCACUGAGGGGCCCGAAUAAGCUGGUCGGCCUCUCUGGGUAACACAGGGUAGUGAUUCUUAGCCCCAGGGGCUACGGACACGCCCACUGUGUGUAAAGAACCUGCAGUCUCAGUACCUGCCUCCCUCCCACUCCUCAAAGAAAUUCUUUCCCAGGGUUCUCAUUGGUUGAGAGGUGAGCCACGCCCAGCCAAUCACCGUGGCUGGGGGAAACCUGGCUCUGAUUGGCCACACCUGAGCUCUGAAUCCACCUCUAGGCUGAGCUGGAGUUGGUGCUCCCAGACCACAGGGGCAGAGAGGGAAGGUGGUCUCCCCAGACGCACUGCCACCAGCCUAACCGCCUUCUGGACUGUCAUGCGGCAGCAACCCGCAGUGCUAGCUGAGCACCUGCCUUGGGGAUGAGUGCUGGGGACACAGGGAAGAUGUCAAGACCCAGGCUCUGCUUCAACGAGUUCACUUCCACCUGCAGGUCAAGACCAUGGAAGGAGAGUGUAGGGUGAGGAGAGGAGUGUGGGUGCUGGAUGGACAGACCAGGAAACCCUCCUUUUACCCCCCUCCCCGACCAAGAACCCCCCAGAGGCCCGGCUCCCAGGCUUGUUUCUCUUGAGUCCAAAGGCCAUAUGUGGGGGGGGGGGCGGGGGGAAGUAAAGGAAGAAACGGCGUUUGGGAGUGGUCUGUGGCUAUUCGUGGCACUGUGAACUUGGGGUCAGAAGGCAGCUGGGUCCUUGAAGGAACGCAGGACAGAAGCCAGGAGGAAGUUCAGUGCUGGUUCUGGAUCCGAAUUGCCUGUGUCCCUGGGCACGUGAUCCUCUCUCGUUGGAAGUGUUCCCAUCUGUAAAACAAGCGGUUUGGACUAGUUUAUCUCUGAGGUCCCUUCCAAUCCGCAAAGCUGCUCCGCUUUCCUGCAAGGUUGUAUGUAAACUGAAUAAAAGUGGCUCCCUACAAAGCUUGGAAUCUGUGGGUGGAGAGCACCCCAUGCCCCGCUCCCGCACCUGCCGGCGGGGACAGCCUGGACCUUCCUACGAGGCGUUGACUCAAAGCGGGGCGACCUGUGGGUCGGAGUCC